rnacentral:tRNA from 1 species
UCUCUGGAGGUCCAGCGGUUAAGACUCUGCACUUCCAUUGCAGGGGGCACGGGUUCGACCCCUGGUUGGAGAA